rnacentral:rRNA from 1 species
GGGGGAUCGCAAGACCUCUCACUAUUGGAGCGGCCGAUAUCGGAUUAGCUAGUUGGUGGGGUAAAGGCCUACCAAGGCGACGAUCCGUAGCGGGUCUGAGAGGAUGAUCCGCCACACUGGGACUGAGACACGGCCCAGACUCCUACGGGAGGCAGCAGUGGGGAAUUUUGGACAAUGGGCGAAAGCCUGAUCCAGCCAUGCCGCGUGAGUGAAGAAGGCCUUCGGGUUGUAAAGCUCUUUCAGCCGGAAAGAAAUCGCGCAGGAUAAUACUCUGCGUGGAUGACGGUACCGGCAGAAGAAGCACCGGCUAACUACGUG